rnacentral:lncRNA from 1 species
UAAGGAAAGAUCCUCAUCACCCAAGUUUCAAUUGGACCGGAACUUGGAAUCAUGCAAGUUGUAUAGAAUGAUGAAUGAGAACCUUCAAGUAUUGGAAAAUUAAGACUAAUUACUUGUUCACAUGGAUGUGUGAGUCAAGUGAAGGACUAAGCGAUCGAGUACACAAUCUUGUGCACUGGUCAAGUCCACCACAAAAGAUCGAUAAGAUUAUUCGUCAUAAUUUACUAAAGCUCAGUAAAUAUGGUUAUAAUUACAAGCUUAAGUGUAAUUCUGAGACAUUGGAAAAGGUUCCAAUGUAAGGCAGAGCGAAUAAGAAGAAUCAAAUUAGGCAGAAGGAUAAAAGUUUCUCAAAUCUAAAAAGAUGGGAGAGUACUUUAGUAUCAGUUUUUAUGAUCAUCUUAAUGAUUUAGAGACCUUAUCACAAUUCAUCCUCUAAGUGCAUUCUUAUAGCUAAGAAGAGGAGCUAUGAAUUGUUGAAGUGGUUAAAUCAAGAAGAUGAGUCAUACUUCGUUCCAAUACAAGUCUUACAGUCAUACUCCAAGAUUGUAAUUUGAGUGACAUGUCUUAGAGAAGGUUUAAAACACAUGGAAAAUGUAAGAGUAAAGUUUUCUACUCUUGUACAUUUGAAAUUGGUAAGUUGUGAUGUUUUGGAUAAAACAAAGACCAACUAAGGCCAAUUGUGUGAAGUGUUUGUCUUGAUUAGAAUCCACACUAUCUCUUGAAUAUCUGACAAGAAAGUCUUAUAUGUCAAGAGGACAGUGGGAGUCUUAAAGGUCUUGAAAGUCUCAAGAACUAAUCAAGAAUAAAACCUGAAGUUCUUCACUAGCACACGACUUGAGGUUUAUAACCUAUCGUGUUGACAUAUUCUGUGCCCAUUCCAGUUAAAGUUGGCUUUGCAUAUGAGUUCUUAGAGUUCUCAAUUGGUUGCACAACAACUUGGAAGCAAUGGCAGGCCCUUGAGCUGCCAGGUGGCAAGAAAUUAAGAUUGAGUUCAGUCCAUAUGAGUUUGGAUUUGUCAUUAUCCUUGUCUUGUGACUAUGGUUUUGACAAGUCACAUGGAUAAGAACACAUACACCAUUAAAUCUAAGUGUCAUAAGGUUUCUCUCCGAUUCAUGAAAAUGAUGGUGAGGAAACACUUUUACUAAGUAGAUUUUAGCUAGAUAGCAAUUGUGUUAUUUGCGUUCUCAAAGUCGUUAGUUAAGCGUGUGUGGUUUACCGGAACACUAACGUGGACUUGUGAGAAGUGGCAAAGGUCUAAACAAUUGAGACUAUGAUUACGGCAUCCCUUUUCAUAUUUCUUAAAAAUUGUUUAGACACACCUGUGAGCUAUCUAAGAUAAGGUGUAUGAUUAUGAUAAAGUUUUUUCAAAGCAAUCUAGUAUCAGAAAUCCGAACUUUGGUAAGAAAGUCUAUAAAUAUUGAUUUCUAGAAGUUGAGCUGAUUUCUGAGUAUAUGUCAAAGCUAGUGGGAGCAUAAGUGUUAUGCUAAUAAUCAUCAUGUUAGUGGGAGCAUGAUAAUUAUGAUAAAGGUUGCAAGUUAGCAAUGAUAAUUAUAGAAAACAAAAGGUUUCAAUUGGGAAAAGUUGUUUUGCUAUAAUUAAGGGAGAGGAAAUUAUACUUCAUCUCAAAUCUAUAAGCUUAGAUCGUGAGGUUUUAAUCAUUUAGUCAUAGAUAUAUAUGAAUUUCAUGUUGGAAUGGCUCAACAUAAGGAAAUUCUGUAUAUGGGUCCAUUAUUUGCGUUCUAAAAUUCGAUUAUGAUUACGGCAUCCCUUUUCAUAAUCUGAAUUAUGAGAACUUGGCAAAUUGAAAUGGAAAUAUUAUAGCAAAAGACUGGUUUAGUCUUUAUGUGAGACAUCAUGAAUCGUGUCCCAUAUGCUUCGGAUAUAGGAUCGAUUACAUGUGCUAUAUUCAUCCUUUCUAAAAUUUUCCAAAUGCCUGGGGCAUUAAGAAGGGAAAAGGUCUAGAAUUGGAUAUGACUAAAAGGAUUAAUCAAUUGUCGAGGACAAUCUAAGGUUUACCAAAGAUUGGUUGCUCAAGGACAGUUGGAAGUAUAGUGAUAAUUCUGGAAGGACCAUAUUGACAUAAUCUGUAAGGAGGCAACUCUUGUUCAGAAGUGAUAGUCAAAUGGAAUCUGGAAAUGUUUCAAAGUUAGAACUUUCAAUCUAUGUAAGAUUAAGGAAACUUAAUGCAAGAAGGAUGUUUCCAAGGAGUUGAUCUCCUUUGGAAUACUUUGUAAUGUUUGUUGUCAAGUUCUUGUGACUUUGUGCAUAAUCAUUACAAGAGGAUCAAUGCAUAUAAGUUUCGAAUAUAACAGAUUUCAGUAAAUCGCAUGAAUUUGGAAUUUUUGCAAUUGCAGUAAGGAUUUGGGACUGUGAAAAGAGGAUCAUUGGAGUUAUGUUCAAUUGAUCUAUUUCACAAAGUAAAGAUCAUAGACAAACAUAGUAUGCAUACUUGGUGUAUGACAUGACUAGUAUUUAGAAAACAUAGUGUACAUGCUUGGAACAUGGGACAACUAUUGUUUUAAAUUAAAGAAUAAAGUUGAUAGGUGAAACAGUAUACAAUGAAUAAUGUGUAAUCAUAUGGUGAUAAAUAAAAGGUGUUUUAUUUAUGUUCAUAGGUUUUGAUACCAUAUUGGAUUCAAUUAUUAUUGUGUUUCACUUUGCAUGUUUUGACUUCCCGAAUAAACUAGGUUAUUCUUCCGGAAUGACUAAGUUAUUCAAACCAUCCACAGUCGGUCAUAUGUUGGAAGUAGAUAUGAAUUAAGACUGUCAUGGGUUGGCUUGUAGAGGUCUAAGGUGUUGGACAAAGGGCUACAACACUCAUGAGUGCUCAUAAGUUCUGAGUAUUGGAUUCAACCCGCGCUCAUUGGAAUCACUUCAUGGAUUUUAUCACGAGUGAUCAUGAGACGAUAAUAUCUUAUAUUCUUCAAACCUAGAGAUAUGAGUUGUUACUAUGAGUUGGUUGUACAUUGAUUGCACGAAAACGCAUUUGGUAACUCGGUGCUAUAAAACGUGCCUUUGUGUAUGAUUCAACAAGUAGUAGAACAAGCCAUAUGAGUCGAAGUUUAUCCAUUCCUUUUACCUUCGGGAUAAAAGCGAUAUCUGUGGGCCCCUCGAUGAUUUGAUGAUGACAAAUGGAAGUGCUCGGCCGGGCCAGGACUGAUUUGAUUUGUUCAAUUAGUCAGUCGUCAUAAAUCGGAAAUCGGGAAACAACAAAUGGACAGAGAGAAUGAUUAUAAUCCAUGUCUCAGUCCAUAUGAUAUCUAGAAUGGAGGAAUAUAUGAUCCCUUAUCUAAUGGACAAGUCAUUGACAAAGGUCAGAGUUCAUCUACAAGGUCAGAGUUCGACAGAAGCUUUUGAGAGCUACGAUUUCCAGUCAGUUCUUGAAGUCAUACGCAAUAAUAGUUUUAGACUUAUCCAAGUGGGAGACUGUUGGAUUAAUGUCUAAGUCCAUAACUAUAAUUGGUAAGACUUGACCCGACUUGGCAUGGUCCAUUUGGGUUGCAUGGCAUCAUGCAUUUGGAUAGACUAAAAUGAGAGAAAUAACACUUAAGGUUUGUUAAUAUAUUAUAAGUUCUAAUAUAUUAAUAAGGUUAUUUAAUUAGUAUUGAUCAAGAAUUAAUUUGGAAUUAAUUAAGUGAUCAAAAGGAGACUAAUUAAAUAUAUGGGUUGAUUGUGUAAAUCAUUCAUUCUUAUAUAUGUGGGCUUGUGAUCCAAGAUUCCUUAUGUUGGACUAAGUCCAUGGGGUGACCCAUGGAUGCUCCAUGGAGGUUAAAAUCCAUGGAGCAUAAGGAAUGGGUAAAGUCAUGAGUUACAUGGUGUAACCCUAAUAGCCACCAUAUACAAUAAUCCCAUGGCUCAAGAAAUCGUGCACUAGCGUGUGUGUGAGGGCUAAAUGAUUUCAUGGAGUGUUCAAGUUUCUCUCAAGUUAUUCCAAGUGUAUUUGGUGUUGUGUGAACCAUUUGAGGUGCCACACUUGAGGCACUUGGCACUCAAGCUUCAUGAAGACUUUCUACAUCAAAGAGGUAUGUAUUCUAUCUUGUUAUAUUCAUUGUUUUGUAUGCUAGAUUAGGAUAAUACCUCAGAUGUUCAUAUUUGCAUGUAUAAUAGAGAAAACAUAGAUCCAAGGUAUUUAAGGUUGCAUGUACACUUAGGAGUGUUAGAAUGCUCAUAACCCAACAGUAUUAAGAAUCUACAAAUAGGAACUUAAUAGAGUUAGAUAGAGGACUUACCUGAAGCAGAGUCAAACCUUUUCGUUUCUACCUUCUCUUAGAUCUUUUUGGUAGUCUGGGCAGCUUCGCUUCCUAUGUCCCUUCAAAUGGCAGUAGAAACAAUUAGCUUCUUUUGCAUUGGCACAUGAGACAAUCCUAGAACCGGCUUUUCUCUUGUGAUCAAAGCUUUUGAUCAUGGCCAAUUCCUUUAAUUUAGGAGAAGGAAUCAUUUCUGUACUAUCGAUGUAAUUGCCUAUGUUCAUGGCAGCUUGGGAAGUAGUGUUGGGUUUUGAGCAUUCUAACACUCCUAUGGUGUACAUGCAACCCUAUAAACCUUGGAUCUAUGUUUUCUCUAUUAUACAUGCAAAUAAGAACUUUCCAAGGCCUUAAUCCUAACUAGCAUACUAUGACGUAACUAUACUACAAAGACUAGUUAGAUGACAUACCUUUUGGUGUAGCUUGAUGUCUUCAAGCUUUAAGAGCUUAGCCCCAAUAGUGUGGAAGCCUCAAAUGGAAUCACAAAUCACGAAAACACCUUGGAAGACUUUAGAGAAUAUGGAUACUUGGUUCUCUCUAGUGAAAUUGGCUAUUCUUAGUGUACCCACACUAGUGCCCUCUUAACCAAACAAGGACAUCUUUAUAUAGUGUGGAGGAUUAGGGUUAAANNNNNNNNNNNNNNNNNNNNNNNNNNNNNNNNNNNNNNNNNNNNNNNNNNNNNNNNNNNNNNNNNNNNNNNNNNNNNNNNNNNNNNNNNNNNNNNNNNNNCAACUCUUGUUCAGAAGUGAUAGUCAAAAUGGAAUAUGGAAAUGGGUCAAAGCUAGAAAGUAUUUAAUCUGUAAGAUUAGGAAACUUAAUGCAAGAAGGAUGUUUCCAAGGAGUUGAUCUCCUCUGGAAUACUCUGUAAUGAUUUUUGCCAAGUCUUUCUGAAUUUGUGCAUAAUCAUUACAAGAGGAUCAAUGCAUAUAAGUUUAGAAUCUAACAGAUUUUAGUAAAUGACAUGAAUUUGGAAUUCUUGCAUUUGCAGCAAGGAAUUGGGACUGUGAAAUGAGAAUCAUUGAAGUUAUGUUCAACUGGUCUAUUUCGCAAAGUAAAGAUCAUAGAUGAACAUAGUGUGCACACUUAGUGUGUGGCAUGACUAGUGUUUAGAAAACAUAGUUUACAUGCUUGGAGCAUGGUAUAACUAGUGUUUUAAUUCAAGUAUAAAGUUGAUAAAACCGAAACAAUGAAUAAUGAGUAAUCAGUAUGGUGAUAAAUAAAAGUGUUUAUUUAUAUUCAUAGGGUUUGAUACCAUAUUUGAUUCAUUUAUUCUUGUGUUUCACUUUGCAUGUUUUGACUUCCAGAAUAAACUAGGUUAUUCUUCUGGAAUGACUAAGUUAUUCAAACCAUCCACAGUCGGUCAUAUGUUGGAAGUAGAUAUGAAUUAAGACUGUCAUGGGUUGGCUUGUAGAGGUCUAAGAUGUUGGACAAAGGGCUACAACACUCAUGAGUGCUCAUAAGUUCUGAGUAUUGGAUUCAACCCGCGCUCAUUGGAAUCACUUCAUGGAUUUUAUCACGAGUGAUCAUGAGACGAUAAUAUCUUAUAUUCUUCAAACCUAGAGAUAUGAGUUGUUACUAUGAGUUGGUUGUACAUUGAUUGCACGAAAACGCAUUUGGUAACUCGGUGCUAUAAAACGUGCCUUUGUGUAUGAUUCAACAAGUAGUAGAACAAGCCAUAUGAGUCGAAGUUUAUCCAUUCCUUUUACCUUCNNNNNNNNNNNNNNNNNNNNNNNAAUGAUGACACAUGUGAGUGCUUGGCCAAGCUAGGACUGAUUUGAUUUGUUCAAUCAGUCAGUCGUCAUGAAUCUGAAAUCGGGAAACAACCAAUGGACAAAGAGAAUGAUUAUAAUCCAUGUCUCAGUCCAUAUGANNNNNNNNNNNNNNNNNNNNNNNNNNNNNNNNNNNNNNNNNNNNNNNNNNNNNNNNNNNNNNNNNNNNNNNNNNNNNNNNNNNNNNNNNNNNNNNNNNNNAUAAAGUCCUUAACUAGUUGCCUAACACGGAAAUGGGACUAGAUAACUUUUAGGCCUUGUUUUGGAGUUUACACCCCAAGAAUGUUCUUGGUCCGUAAGCUCCCGGAUCUUGUGUUUUGGACAUGUAAAUAAUGUUAUUAAGCAUAUAACAAGUAUUAAAACACAUCUAGGAAAGUAGACUCACAAUCUGGGAUGAAAACCCAAAGAUCCGUGAGAGAGAUAUUGUCUUUUCUCUAAUUGGAAUUCAACUAAUGAACCAUUUUGGUUCAGAAUUCUAUUCAUAGUGCUGAGAUUUUUGGCAGAAAAUAUUUCUAUUCUCAGAAUGGAUUCUAAUGACCUAGAGUAAUGGAAUUACAGUGUUGCACAAAAUCCUAGUGCAUCCACUCUCCUAAUAUCUCCUUAGGUGUAAAACCCUGAAAACUGCCAAACUUAUACCAUAAGUCUGAAUUUUCACUGUAACUGCUUUACUUCUAUUGGAUUGAAAUGGUUUGAUUAAAAUGGAAAAUUUCGGGUUGUCACAGUAUAUGCUGAUUCUGAUCGCGAAGAUGGAUUUUAAUCGCAUGGUUGAGUGAUCAGAAUUUUGAGCACGUGCUUAAGAGUUAUGAUAGAUUGCUUAGGAAUAGAAGACAACAAGUUUUCAUAUACAUCUACAUUGUAAGGCUUAGUUUUUCCGCAAAGUUUUAAAAUAAAAGAAAAUUUUUUAAUUUUAUUUAUUUUAAAGUAUCCUUACAAUGACAUUUGGGAAAAAAGAUGUUGUUUAUAUGAUUCCACUGAUAGCAAUAUUGGAAAUAUGAAUUAGAUUCUUUCAUUUGUGGUAGUGUCUAAAUUUACCAAAUAAGGAAAGAUUCUCAUCACCCAAGUUUCAAUUGAAUCGAAACUUGGAAUCAUGCAAGGUGUAUGCUAUGAUGAAUGAGAACUUUCGAGCAUUGGAAAAUUAAGACUAACUGCUUGUUCACAUGGAUGUGUGAGUCAAGAGAAGGACUAUGGGAUCGAGUACACAUUCUUGUACACUGGUCAAGUCCAACACAAAAUAUUGAUAAGAUUAUUCGUCAUAAUUUACUAAAGCUCAGUAAAUAUGGUUAUACUUACAAGCUUAAGUGUAAUUCUGAGACAUUGGAAAAGGUUCCAAUGUAAGGCAGAGCGAAUAAGAAGAAUCAAAUUAGGCAAGAAGGAUAAAAGUUUCUUAAAUCUAAAAAGACGGGAGAGUACUUUAGUAUCAGUUUUGUGAUCAUCUUAACGAUUAAGAAACCAUAGCACAAUUAAUUCUCUAAGGAAUCUUAGUGCAUUCUUAUGACUAAGAAGAGGAAUCUUGAAUUGUUGAAAUGGUUAAAUCAAGAAGAUGAGUCAUACUUCGUUCUAAUACAAGUCUUAGAGUCAUACUCCAAGAUUGUAAUUUGAGUGACAUGUCUUAAAGAAGGUUUAAAACACUUGUCAAAUGUAAGAGUAAAAGUUUUCUACUCUUGUACAUUUGAAAUUGGUAAGUUGUGAUGUUUUGGAUAAAACAAAGACCAACUUAGGCCAAUUUUGUGAAGUGUUUGUCUUGAUU